CAAAUCUUUAUAAACCGAUUGAAAGAGUCAUGUGAAUGUGAUAAUACACCUAGUUAUUUUGUUUCAUGUGACCACUGCUACAUGACGACGAGUGAAUGACAAACGGCGAAGGCGUUACAGCAUGGCACAGUCUGAGAGUGGCAGCCGUGCCGCGUGUGUGCCGUGUGGUGGUGACUUCGUGGCAGCGUAUUAAUAAACGCAAGCUCAGAGCACGAGCUGCGUAUCAGUAUGGCCGUGAUAGCGCGACAGCGAAAUAUUGAAAAUCUAAAUAUUAUGUUAACUGUAAACAACACGUGCGGCUAGCAAACAAACAACACCUGCACUUGUUUACGACACACGUGCAAGGUACGGUAGUGGGGACAACCCUUAUAAGAAGGCGAGCCGCACGAGUUGUACCAUUCUUGUGUCGAACUCCGUACAGAGAACAUCCAAUAAAAGUAAUCCGUGACAGUGA